CUUGGAAAAUCUCCUGGAGGAGGAAGUAAACAAUGUGGAUGUGACUGGGAGAAUCUACUGUGGAAGGAAGCAGACAAUGUGGAUGUGACUGUGAGAAUCUACUGGGGAAGGAAGUAGACAAUGUGGAUGUGACUGGAAGAAUCUACUGGGGAAGGAUGUAGACAAUGUGGAUGUGACUUGGAGAAUCUACUGGGGAAGAAUGUAGACAAUGUGGAUGUGACUGGGAGAAUCUACUGUGGAAGGAAGCAGACAAUGUGGAUGUGACUGGGAGAAUCUACUGGAGGAGGAAGUAGACUAUGUGGAUGUGACUGGGAUAAUCUACUGGAGGAGGAAGUAGACAAUGUGGAUGUGAGGGAAACAAUCUACUGGAGGAGGAAGUAGACUAUGUGGAUGUGACUGGGAGAAUCUACUGGAGGAG
rnacentral:lncRNA from 1 species